rnacentral:rRNA from 1 species
ACGAACUCUGUGUAUUGAUUGGUGCUUGCAUCAUGAUUUACAUUUGAGUGAGUGGCGAACUAGAGAGUUGCACGUGGGAAACCUGCCCAGAAGCGGGGGAUAAAUCGUAGAGACAGAUGCUAAUACCGCAUAACAACUUGUGACCGCAUGGUCCGAGUUUGAAAGAUAGCUUCGGCUAUCACUUUUGGAUGGUCCCGCGGCGUAUUAGCUAGAUGGUGAGGUAACGGCUCACCAUGGCAAUGAUACGUAGCCGACCUGAGAGGGUAAUCGGCCACAUUGGGACUGAGACACGGCCCAAACUCCUACGGGAGGCAGCAGUAGGGAAUCUUCCACAAUGGACGAAAGUCUGAUGGAGCAACGCCGCGUGAGUGAAGAAGGGUUUCGGCUCGUAAAACUCUGUUGUUGAAGAAGAACAUAUCUGAGAGUAACUGUUCAGGUAUUGACGGUAUUUAACCAGAAAGCCACGGCUAACUACGUGCCAGCAGCCGCGGUAAUACGUAGGUGGCAAGCGUUGUCCGGAUUUAUUGGGCGUAAAGCGAGCGCAGGCGGUUUUUUAAGUCUGAUGUGAAAGCCUUCGGCUCAACCGAAGAAGUGCAUCGGAAACUGGGAAACUUGAGUGCAGAAGAGGACAGUGGAACUCCAUGUGUAGCGGUGAAAUGCGUAGAUAUAUGGAAGAACACCAGUGGCGAAGGCGGCUGUUUGGUCUGUAACUGACGCUGAGGCUCGAAAGUAUGGGUAGCAAACAGGAUUAGAUUCCCUGGUAGUCCAUACCGUAAACGAUGAAUGCUAAGUGUUGGAGGGUUUCCGCCCUUCAGUGCUGCAGCUAACGCAUUAAGCAUUCCGCCUGGGGAGUACGGCCGCAAGGCUGAAACUCAAAGGAAUUGACGGGGGCCCGCACAAGCGGUGGAGCAUGUGGUUUAAUUUGAAGCUACGCGAAGUAACCUUGCCAGGUCUUGACAUACUAUGCAAAUCUAAGAGAUUAGACGUUCCCUUUGGGGACAUGGAUACAGGUGGUGCAUGGUUGUCGUCAGCUCGUGUCGUGAGAUGUUGGGUUAAGUCCCGCAACGAGCGCAACCCUUAUUAUCAGUUGCCAGCAUUAAGUUGGGCACUCUGGUGAGACUGCCGGUGACAUACCGGAGGAAGGUGGGGAUGACGUCAAAUCAUCAUGCCCCUUAUGACCUGGGCUACACACGUGUUACAAUGGAUGGUACAACGAGUUGCGAACUCGCGUGAGUAAGCUAACAUUUUAAAGCCAUUCUCAGUUCGGAUGGUAGGCUUCAAAUUGCCUACAUGAAGUCGGAACGGUUUGUUAUCGCGAAUCAGCACGUCGCGGUGAAUAUGUUCCCGGUCUUUCUACACACCGCCCGUCACACCAAGAGA